rnacentral:rRNA from 1 species
UACGUAGGGGGCAAGCGUUGUCCGGAAUCAUUGGGCGUAAAGCGCGUGUAGGCGGUUCGAUAAGUCUGCUGUGAAAGUCCAGGGCUCAACCCUGGGAUGCCGGUGGAUACUGUCGGACUAGAGUACGGAAGAGGCGAGUGGAAUUCCCGGUGUAGCGGUGAAAUGCGAAGAUAUCGGGAGGAACACCAAUUGCGAAGGCAGCUCGCUGGGACGUCACUGACGCUGAGACGCGAAAGCGUGGGGAGCAAACAGG